GCGUUGCAACGCCCGCAGCCCCUGCGCCUUAGGAAUGCGCGGCGACACGCAAGCGGAGCAGAAGCAAAGAGGGGAGGGGACUGGAAGGACGGGUCCGCCCUGCAGAUCUGGUUAUCCAACAUUCGGCCCGCUCGUUUAAGUCGGAUAACUAGAACUCUACUGUAUACGAAUCCAAGGCUGGAGUUAAAAUUGCUGGAAGAAACAUUAACAACCUUAGAUAUGCAGAUGAUACCAUUCUGAUGGCUGAAAGCGAAGAGGAGCUGAGGAGCCUUAUCACCAAGGUGAAAGAAGAAAGUGCAAAAGCUGGCUGCAGUUAAACAUCAAGAAAACCAAGAUGAUGGCAACAAGACUGAUUGAUGAUGGGCAAAUAGAGGGAGAAAACCUGGAGGCAGUGACAGACUUUCUAGGUGCAAAGAUUACUGCAAAGAUGCAGACUGCAGCCAGGAAAUCAGAAAACGUUUACUUCUUGGGAGGAGAGCAAUGACCAAUUUCGAUGAUAAAAUAGUGAAGAGUAGAGACAUCACACUGGCAACGAAGGUCCACAUAGUUAAAGCAAUGGUAUUCCCCUAACCUAUGGAUGCGAGAGCUGGACCAUAAGGAAGGCUGUGCCAAGGAAAAUAGAUGCUUUCAAACUUUGGUGCUGGAGGAAAAUCCUGAAAGUGCCUUGGACCGCAAGAAGAUCCAACCAGUCCGUACUCCAGGAAAUAAUGCCCGGCUACUCACUGGGGGGAAGGAUAUUAGAGGCAAAAAUGAAGUACUUUAGCCACAUAAUGAGAAGACGGGAAAGCUUGAAGAAGAGAAUGAUGCUUGGGGAAAUGGAAGGAAAAAGAAAGAGGGGCCAACCAAGGGCAAGACAGAUGGAUGGGAUCCUUGAAGUGACUGGCUUGAUCUUGAAGGAGCUGGGGGUGGCGACGGCAACAGGGAGCUCUGGUGUGGGCUGGUCCAUGAGGUCAUGGAAGCAACUGAACAAAUAAACAACAUACUGCAUAAUACACGAGUAUAAGCCUAGUUCUUCAGCCCUUUUUUGGGGCUGAAAAAGCUCCCCUCGGCUUAUACUCGAGUGAGGGUCCUGGCCGGCUUCUAUUCAGGUUGGCUUAUACUUGAGUAUAUAGGUAUUCAGAGUUGGCCAGUCUUAUCUUAUUAAAGUCUUAUUAUCUUAAAUUACAAUUUUAUAUAAAUAUUCAAAAACAUUUAACCUAAAAUUAGGUGUCUCGGCUUAUAUUUGGGUCGGCUUAUACUCGAGUAUAUACGGUAUAUAAAACUAGUUCCCAACCUUUGAGCCUCCAGGUGUUUUGGACUUCAGCUCUCACAGUUCCUAACAGCUGGUAAACUGGCUGGGAUUUCUGGGAGUUGAAGUACAAAACACCUGUAGGCCCAAAGGUUGGGAACCACUGAAAAGAAAGUGAAUCAGGAAAUCCCUUAGCCCCCUUCUACACAGCUGAACAAAAUCCCACAUUAUCUGCUUUGAACUGGGUUAUCUGGCAGUGUGGACUCAGACAACCUGGGUUAUAUGGCUGUGUGGAAGGACGCUAAGUUAUUUCAGACUUAAGGCAACCCUCAGUCGAAAGUUUAGGGCAGGGGCUGAGUAAAUGGUCUUGGAGGGCCACAAAGCUCCAGUUGUCUGUCUCCUACUUCCACUGCGUCCGCACAGACACACGAGAAGCCGAGAAGAGGGGAAGUCUGGCUUCUGCUACAAUCUGGCCCACGGGCCUUAGGCCUGUUCUACACAGGUGUAUAAAAUUCACAUAAUCUGACAGUGUAGAAGGGGCUUUAGUUUGGGGACCCCUGUUCUACACCGUAAAAACACAAGUUUGACAUCACUUUCACUGUCCCUUGCUUAAUGCUGUGAGUUUUUUGGGCUGGGACCCACAGGUUGAGAACCAGUGGCAUAAAGGUAGCUUGGCUGUUGUGCCUGGAGGCACCCUUUGUCUGGAACGUGUUAUAAGCUUGCUAAUUGCAACAUUCACACUUGCUUCAAACAGACAAUGAUUUUUUCUUCCACCCUGGAGAUUCCACAGAGAUAUAUACACCUCUCUUGCCUCACUAGCAACAGAACUUCUGAAGAUACUAGCCACAGAUGCAGGUGAAAUGUCAGGAGAGAAUGCUACUGAAACAUAGCCAUACAGCUUGAAAAACUAACAGCAACCCAGUGAUUCUGGCCAUGAAAGCCUUCGAUGACACAUUUUAAAUUUUUUAACUACCUGCUUAAAAUAACUGUUACCCCAUGGGCUUCCUCUUACUACAUGCCCAUUCUGCAAGAUAUUGGCUAUUUCCAAAAAGCCGGUUUGUCCACUUUUAGUGCAGAACAGAUAAAAGGGAAGCAAUAAAGGCACCCUGUUCCCUGUGACAGAUAGUGCAUAAAGGAACUCUUUCUGCUUUUACACAUAAAUCUCAUGGGAGCUUUAGAGGUUAUUUCUCUUGGCUAGGUCCAGCACUCACUGACAACACUUCAUUAAAACAACACAAGUAAUAUUGAGUUACCAGGACUGCCCUUAAUGACAUAGAAUGUUACAUCUCCAUCUGACUGUAGCAACUCAGGAAAUGUGUGAUUUAGCAUUGGUUCUCCACCUUUGGACUUCCAGUUGUUGGGACUUCAAGUCCUAGAAGCCCUAAUCAGCUUGGCCAACUGUCUGGUUUUCUGGGAGCUGAGGUCCAAAACACCUGGAAGACUAAAGGUUGUGAACCACUUUAAGAGGAAGCCACUUGUCAAUGUUGUGUUCCUAACAGCAAUACAAUGCCUUUUCUUAAGUGAACUAAAACCCUGCUAUUAGCAUGAGACAAUUAGCAUCCAGCAUAGUUAAGGUGAAGGAUGAUGGGUGAUGCUGUCCAACACUGAGACUAUAUGCUCUCUGACCUACGGUUGUUGCUGUGUCACAGAAACCAAUUGUUUCUGACUUAUUAUGACCCUAAAACAUGGCUGGGUGGGGAUAUGAGUCCCAGUGCAAUGCUCAAGCAACUACAAUAUGCUGGCUAAUCAUAGGCAAAAGAGUAGUAAUAGAAAAGGUCCAAUGUAUAGCAGUGAAAAGUGGACUGAAGUGCAGCGAUGUCACUCACUAAACUUUCAUCUCCUCCUCCUCAGGGUCAUAGCUGCUAUUAGGUAUUGUGAGACAGGUGCACAGAUUAUGUUCUGCAUGCAGUCCAUUUACAUGAAUGCUGUAUUUUGUGUGUGAGAGUGAUUCAGAAGAGAAUUUGUAGACAUUUCUGCCUCAGUAGGCAAAGUAUAGUUGCCCCCCUCACUAGCAGAUUUGACUUUUGCAAAAUUUGAGUAUUCACAGAUUUAAUUAAAAUCUUCUAAGAUUCUUUAGGUCCUCCAGUGUGACUCUAUGGUCAGCUUACAACAGAAGCUGAAAGCAGUCAUGCUGGAGGACUUAGACAUUCCCAAAGAGGUGUUUUCUCAGGUAAAGAAGCAUUAAAAAAUCACUUCCAUUGCGGUGGCACAGUGGGUUAAACCCUUGUGAACUGCUCAUCUAAAGGUUGCCGGUUUAAAUCUUUGAGAUGGAGUGAGCGUCUGUCUGUCAGCUCUAGCUUACAGGGACAUGAGAGAGGCUUCCCAGUAACCCAUCCAAGUGUCCCCUGGGCAACGUCUCUGUAGAUGGCCAAUUCUCUCACACCAGAAGCGACUUGCAGUAUGUUCUCAAAUCGCUGAUGACACAAUAAAAAAAUUGAGAUCCUGUGCCCCUAACCCCAGCAAAUGUAGAAAUCUGGCUUUGAAUGAUAUAAGUCUUGAUGGGCAGUCAGUAUUUGCUGCUCUGUCUCAGGAAGCAAAAGGUAUUGGGCUUCAUCUGAUAUUAUCAGAGGCUGAAAACUCAUGAAGAAUUGUCAGCAUUAAAUGUUAUUGUCAAUGGAAUUUCACAAUUAUUCAGUCUCAUGACAAUCUUAUAUAAGAAUCUGAGGGAGGUGUUGUGCAAUUGAGUGGCUUUGGGAUGCCUGGCUUUUCAGAUUCAGAAGCCACAGAUUCAGAAGUCACGUGUAGACUAACUCGAUACAGGAAACAGAACAUUAUAAACACAAAAAAUGUAGACAUGGUGAAUGACAGAUAUAAAAUUAAUUUUUUUGAGACAGGGUGUUUCUUUUUAAUUUUCAAAAAAGGAAGUUAAGACAUCUCAUGAGCCACUAGCCAUUGUGUCCAGAUGACAUGUGUUAAGAAUAUAUUUAUGUUUUUUAAUGGCAAGAGCUGUGUGACAUAGGAACAUGCCCCCAAGAACAGAGAUGAGAGAGCGAGAAGAUAUAGCAGCUAAAAACAACCUUGGUAGAUAGGCACAGCAAAAAGACAUUUCUGAUGGACGGCCAAAAGGAAAUCUACAGAGGCCCUGAGAUGGAAGCAUCACAAUUGGAUUGCACUCCUAAUCAUUUGGAACUGUAACAACCCCCUAGGUAUUGAAAGCUAAAUUAUCUUCCUUUGUAUGUGAAACUAAUUAGCUUUUGUAUGCUCUCCUGGAGGACUUUGCCUUGAAAGGCAUCAUAAAGUUCUCCUAAAUAAACAGAUCUAAAGUAAGACUUCUUACUCUAUAAGACAAAAUAUAAAGAAUAUUAUUUUGCAGACAUUCUCCCUCUCUCCAUUCACACCCACACAAAUGAAAAUUAAAUCUGUCAUAUAGGAAACAACUGAGAUAACCCUAAUAUUUUUUUCUCCUCCAAUUCUCCUUUCUAACGUUUCUAUUAAGACUGAAGAGAGAAGAGGGCCAUGUAACCAAAGAUAUAUUUGUUUAAUUCUGGCAUUAUUUCCUUUUUUUCAACCUUGUGAGCUGUAUAAUUCAAGAACAUUUCUGUUAAGGGGCUGGGCUUAGCUCAGCAGGCAAACCACUAGCUGCAGAAAAUCCUGUGGAUCGAAAGGUCAGUAGUUCAAGCCCAGGUUGGGGUGUGCACCUGCCAUCAGCCCCAGCUCCCUGCUCAUCUAGCAGAUCAAAAGCAGAAAUCUGAGUAGAUAAAUAGUACCACUUAAAAAACGCUUAAAAGGCGCCCAUAAGGCAAUUUUAUCCAGACAAAACAACAACAAAACCUUAUUUAUAUACCGCUAUCACCCGCAGGGACUCAUGGAGGUUUACACAUGGUAAACAUUCAAUACCAGCAUACAACAUACAACAAUCCAAUAAUAACAUCACAAUUUAAACAUGAUAAGAAAUUAAAAUGAUGUGCUCAUUUGAUAUAAAAAGCAAUUUCAAAUAGCUUCAUUGGGUGAUUCAACAACCAAUGGGCAUGGUUUUCCAGAUGGAUCAUGAUGGCUGUAAGAGUUAGGGUAGGGUUCACACAGUAAAAAUAACAUAAAGCCAGGGUAGAAGCGUGAGUGAUAGCAAGGAGCAUAAGACGGGAUUACACCACUUCAGACCUGCUGAGUAGCUAUAAUGGUAAAAUUAGUUAAACUAACACUAUGACAAAAUCAAAGGAAGUGGGUAAAGUGCAGAACAGGGACCAUAUGAUAGCCAGGGUGGAGUCUGAGGUUUCAGGUUAGUCACUUCCAAAAGCCUGUUGAAACCACCAGGGUUUUAGAUCCCUACAGAAGGAUAAUACCGAUGGGGCUUGCCUUAUCUCUUUGGGGAGGGUGUUCCAGAGGCAGGGGGGCCACCACCGAGAAGGCCCUUUCCCUCGAUCCCACCAACCGUAUCUGAGACGGCAGUGGGAAUGAGAGGAGGGCCUCCCCAGAGGAUCUAAGGGUCCAUGCAGGGACAUAGGGGGAGAUGCAAUUGUGAAGGUAGGCGGAGCCCCAAACGUUUAGGGCAGUGAUUCCCAAAGUGUGUGCUACCGCCCCCUGGUGGGCGCUGCAGCGAUACAGGGAGGCAGUGAUGGCACCUAUUAGGACACAGGGGCGGGGCCAGGGGAGGGGCGCGGCUUCUUCCCAAGAGCCCAAGACAGGGCUGAGAAUCUAUACCUCUCCUGAGGCGCUUGUUGGGACACAGAGGGUGGAGCUAGAGCCUGAGACAGGGCCGAGCCUCUAUACCUCUCCUGAGAGGCCUUUUAGGACUAAAGGGCGGGGUAGGGGCAGGGGCGGGGCCUCUUCUCAAGACCCCCUGUUACCUCACCUGAGGUGCUUGUUAGAACACGGGGGCGAGGUAUAGAGGUUCAGCCCCGUCAGGCACUUGGGAAGAGGCCCCGCCCACUCCUCUAGCCCCGCCCCCAGUGUCCUGGCAGGACAGGGAUAGAAGCUCAGCCCUGUCUCAGAGCUCAUAACUCUGCCCAUCCCAAUCCUGGCCGCCCAUUUGUGGCCCCGCCCACCUCCGCCUCCGCCUCCCACUCCCAGCCCUGCAUCUUGGACUAGGGGAGAGGCUCGGCCCCACCCUCUUGAGCAGGAGCCACGCCCACCCCUCUAGGCCACGCCCCCUUUCCAGGGGGCGCUGAGUAAUAUUUUUUCUGGAAAGGGAGCGGUAGGCCAAAUAAGUUUGGGAACCACUGGUUUAGGGCGUUAUAGGUCAUAACCUGCACCUUGAAUAGGUGCAGAGGACAUCCAAGGACAACAAAGCUCCUCGGCAUGGAAGAUGGAGUGAGAGUGUGAUGACUCAUGGGUCAUGUAGUCCCAUUCCUAGUGCUGUUGUGACUGACGAAGAGGAGAACUUGGGUUUUCCUCCAUUUCAGCCAGAAAGGGAACCAUUUCAGCCAGAAAUUGAGCCUUUGCACCUGCAGGAGGCUUGUCUUCCAGAAAUCUCCCAAACAAGCCCGGAGUCGAGUUCUCCCCCUUUUUCUCCCCCUUUUUCGCGCCGUAAUUACAUUCUCCAGCAGAAAGGAGUGCAACAGGCUAAUCGCAGGAGUUUGAGAAUAGCAGCAAAGCAUUCAGAUGAUUAAAGCCUGUUCCCAUGAGAAAUUUUAGGGAGUCAUACAUCUGGACACAGAGAUUGACUUUCGUUUCUGGUUCCCCAGAGAAGUGUUCUCUGGUGGGGAAAACAAGGCCUAUUUAGGUUCCUUGCUCCCGGAGGGAUCUUGCGGAGUCAAUUUCGUCAGCAACUGGAGUAGUGUGUGUGGACAGCUACUCCGCUUCCAAGCCUUUGUUCCUGAUUCAAGCCUUCGUUUUCCAGCCUUGUUCCUCCACGGAUUUUGCCUUGCUUUCCAAGACCCAGCCUUGCCUUGUUUCCCGGAUUUUGCCAAGUAAAUACCACGGAUCUUGUCCUUGCUCCUCGUUCCUUGCUGCCUUGUAUCCAAGCCUUGUUUUUCCAAGAAUCAAGUUACUUCCUAGCCUCGUUCAAGUUCAUGGACUAAAAGACCUUGUCAUCUCCCCUCACUUUGCCUGGCAAAGUGAGUGUUUCGGUUAUUGGAUUACAACUUUGGACCUUAAUAUUUCAUAUUGGACAUUGCUUCUUUGGACUAAUUUUGACCUUUCCUGAAAGGUCUACUCCUGGACUAAUUCAUACGCUUGCUUUUAUUAACUUUACAUAUUUCUUUAAUAAAGAUAUUAGAUAGAUUCUGGCCUCUGUGCAUGGUUAUUGGUGCUCUGCUGCCUGGGUCCUGACAGAGAGCACCUCCCCCCACCCACAUGGCUAUUGUCGAGCACAGCCUCCAAAUGCCAGAAAUGGAAAAGAUGGAAAAAGCCCUGUCUAGGUAUCGUCUGUCCUAGUUAACUGUGUAACAGCAUUGAAUGUUUGCUGUAUAUGUGUUAUAUAAAUAAAUAUAAAGUAUAUUAUUAA